rnacentral:rRNA from 1 species
CGGACGGGUGAGUAACGCGUGAGAAUCUACCUUCAGGUCGGGGAUAACCCCUGGAAACGGGGGCUAAUACCGGAUAGGUCGAAAGAUGAAAGGUUAACUGCCUGAAGAGGGGCUCGCGUCUGAUUAGCUAGUAGGUGUGGUAAGAGCGCACCUAGGCGACGAUCAGUAGCUGGUCUGAGAGGAUGAGCAGCCACACUGGGACUGAGACACGGCCCAGACUCCUACGGGAGGCAGCAGUGGGGAAUUUUCCGCAAUGGGCGAAAGCCUGACGGAGCAAGACCGCGUGGGGGAGGAAGGCCUUUGGGUUGUAAACCCCUUUUGUUAGGGAAGAAAAAAAUGACGGUACCUAACGAAUCAGCCUCGGCUAACUCCGUGCCAGCAGCCGCGGUAAUACGGAGGAGGCAAGCGUUAUCCGGAAUUAUUGGGCGUAAAGCGUCCGUAGGUGGCCCGGCAAGUCUGCUGUCAAAGACCACAGCUCAACUGUGGAAAGGCAGUGGAAACUGCAAGGCUAGAGUGCGGUAGGGGUAGAGGGAAUUCCCAGUGUAGCGGUGAAAUGCGUAGAGAUUGGGAAGAACACCGGUGGCGAAAGCGCUCUACUGGGCCGCAACUGACACUGAUGGACGAAAGCUAGGGGAGCGAAUGGGAUUAGAUACCCCAGUAGUCCUAGCUGUAAACGAUGGAAACUAGGUGUAGCACGUAUCGACCCGUGCUGUAUCGGAGCUAACGCGUUAAGUUUCCCGCCUG